rnacentral:rRNA from 1 species
CGGGUGAGUAACACGUAGUUGACCUGCCCCUCGGUGGGGAAUAACUCCUCGAAAGAGGUGCUAAUACCGCAUACGCUCUCAUGCGUUGGUGUGAGAGGAAACGCGUAAGCGACCGAGGGAGGGGACUGCGGCGGAUUAGCUAGUUGGUGGGGUAAUGGCCUACCAAGGCGACGAUCCGUAGCUGGUCUGAGAGGACGACCAGCCACACUGGGACUGAGACACGGCCCAG